CUACGGGUCGCACCAGUGGGGAAUAUUGGGCAAUGGGCGCAAGCCUGACCCAGCAACGCCGCGUGAAGGAAGAAGGCUUUCGGGUUGUAAACUUCUUUUAGCAGGGACGAAGAAAGUGACUGUACCUGCAGAAUAAGCUCCGGCUAACUACGUGCCAGCAGCCGCGGUAAUACGUAGGGAGCAAGCGUUAUCCGGAUUUACUGGGUGUAAAGGGCGCGUAGGCGGGACGACAAGUCAGGUGUGAAAUCUGGGGGCUCAACCCCCAAACUGCACUUGAAACUGUAGUUCUUGAGUGAUGGAGAGGCAAGUGGAAUUCCUAGUGUAGCGGUGAAAUGCGUAGAUAUUAGGAGGAACACCAGUGGCGAAGGCGACUUGCUGGACAUUAACUGACGCUGAGGCGCGAAAGCGUGGGGAGCAAACAGGAUUAGAUACCCUUGUAGUC
rnacentral:rRNA from 1 species